UAGAUGUAUAUUUCAAAAUUUAAAAUUCGCAGUUAAGGUUAGUCUUCUAAAUUUAUAAUUGCCAAUAUGUAUGAAUAUUCAGAAUCUGAAGAAUCUGAAAACGAGCAAUACGAAAAUGUAACCGAUACUAAGCAAAAGAGCCUUCUAUUUUUCAUUGCCGCAGUAACAGCUAUUCAUAUUGCGCCGUUUAUCUUCAACAAGCUAAAUUUGGCAUAAGUCUGGAGUUGUUUUCAUAAAAUAGGAGUUUAUAUAUAGAAUUUCAAGCAAACGCAUUCUUCACCUGCCUUACGUAUCAAUACGGUCUAUGAUUCGUUAUAUUGUUAAUGAUGCAGUUAUGAGAGAAAUAAAUGGAACUAAACGAAUGGAGUAUGUUGUCUUUCUCCAUAGCUAUACGAUUGUGAUAUUCCUAAGUAGAAAGCAAAUGGUUGGAUUUGUUGGCCGUAGAGAUUAAAUUGGAACUAUUAUCAGCUGAACUGCAGAUAAGAAAAUUAUUUUAGGAGUAAGGACCGUUGGAUUUCGUAUAUUGUCAACGAUCAAGUGACGUGCUGUGAAGCAGAACACUAUAAAAAACACUUAACGAUCCAUUAGAAAGUCGCAGUAAAUAUAAAUCCACUGUAAUAUUAACAUCAAUAAUGACAAAUUACCCUUGAUGAGAACGCCGUCAAUAAUUGAGGUGUAAGUGGUUGUUAAAAGGCAUUGUUACUAUAAAGUGUAUUACACCAGACCUCUUGACUUCUACUUGCCCCUUGAUUUUGGAAUGGAGUCAUGCGGUGAUGGAGUGAUGAAGUGAUGGAAUGUAUAAUUUUUAAGAAAAGUAGUGAAAUGCUGUGACUAAACAGAAAUGACUAUUCUACAAAUCUCUAGCAAAACCAGCUUAAAAUUAGAUCAAAUUAUCACCAUAUGGACAAUACUGGAUUAAUGAAACAAGUUUCUAUAUCUACAUAAAAGGCCAUGAGUAUACUGCAGACAUUUGUUUACCCAAUCAAACAAUGACAGAUUCGGAAAAUAUAGUUCCACUUAGAGGUUAAUGUAGGCAAACGAAAGUUACAAACAUUGGAUAUGAUAACUAAGUUGAUUCGUAAUUAUAAACUGAUGGUUCAAUUGUUAAACACGUUGAAAGUUUUACUUACUUUACAAACGCAGUGAUUGCCUACUGCAGGACGGACCAGGAUACAAUGACAUUGGAAUUUUAAUAUAUGGCCGUCAUCGGAAUUGCUUCUAGAGUAUUGAGUUGAAAAAUAGUGUAGAAGAUAAAAAGACGGAGUUGGCAUUAAAAUAAUUACUUACAACCCAUAUUUGCAUGUACCGAAUUUAAUAGACAUUUUCAUCAUCUUUGGCAAAUAAAGUUAUUUUCGGCAAUUAAAAA